rnacentral:rRNA from 1 species
ACAUCCAGAGAACUUAGCAGAGAUGCUUUGGUGCCUUCGGGAACUCUGAGACAGGUGCUGCAUGGCUGUCGUCAGCUCGUGUUGUGAAAUGUUGGGUUAAGUCCCGCAACGAGCGCAACCCUUAUCCUUUGUUGCCAGCGGUUCGGCCGGGAACUCAAAGGAGACUGCCGGUGAUAAACCGGAGGAAGGUGGGGAUGACGUCAAGUCAUCAUGGCCCUUACGGCCAGGGCUACACACGUGCUACAAUGGCGCAUACAAAGAGAAGCGACCUCGCGAGAGCAAGCGGACCUCAUAAGGUGCGUCGUAGUCCGGAUUGGAGUCUGCAACUCGACUCCAUGAAGUCGGAAUCGCUAGUAAUCGUAGAUCAGAAUGCUACGGUGAAUACGUUCCCGGGCCUUGUACACACCGCCCGUCACACCAUGGGAGUGGGUUGCAAAAGAAGUAGGUAGCUUAACCUUCGGGAGGGCGCUUACCACUUUGUGAUUCAUGACUGGGGUGAAGUCGUAACAAGGUAGGCGUAGCGAG